AAUCGUACGAGGUGUGCCUAAUAAUGCAUUUCGAGCGGACUUGUUAGGAGCUUGCUUCUAUCAAGUUAGCGGCGGACGGGUGAGUAACACGUGGGUAACCUGCCUGUAAGAUGGGGAUAACUCCGGGAAACCGGAGCUAAUACCGAAUAACACUUUCGCUCGCAUGAGCGGAUGUUAAAAGACGGUUUCGGCUGUCACUUACAGAUGGACCCGCGGCGCAUUAGCUAGUUGGUGAGGUAACGGCUCACCAAGGCGACGAUGCGUAGCCGACCUGAGAGGGUGAUCGGCCACACUGGGACUGAGACACGGCCCAGACUCCUACGGGAGGCAGCAGUAGGGAAUCUUCCGCAAUGGACGAAAGUCUGAGGGAGCAACGCCGCGUGAGUGAUGAAGGUUUUCGGAUCGUAAAACUCUGUUGUUAGGGAAGAACAAGUAUGAGAGUAACUGCUCGUACCUUGACGGUACCUAACCAGAAAGCCACGGCUAACUACGUGCCAGCAGCCGCGGUAAUACGUAGGUGGCAAGCGUUGUCCGGAAUUAUUGGGCGUAAAGCGCGCGCAGGCGGUUCCUUAAGUCUGAUGUGAAAGCCCACGGCUCACCGUGGAGGGUCAUUGGAAACUGGGGAACUUGAGUGCAGAAGAGGAAGCGGAAUUCCCGUGUAGCGGUGAAAUGCGUAGAGA
rnacentral:rRNA from 1 species